rnacentral:rRNA from 1 species
GACGAACGCUGGCGGCGUGCUUAACACAUGCAAGUCGAACGGAAAGGCCCUGCUUUUGUGGGGUGCUCGAGUGGCGAACGGGUGAGUAACACGUGAGUAACCUGCCCUUGACUUUGGGAUAACUUCAGGAAACUGGGGCUAAUACCGGAUAGGAGCUCCUGCUGCAUGGUGGGGGUUGGAAAGUUUCGGCGGUUGGGGAUGGACUCGCGGCUUAUCAGCUUGUUGGUGGGGUCGUGGCUUACCAAGGCUUUGACGGGUAGCCGGCCUGCGAGGGUGACCGGCCACAGUGGGACUGAGAUACGGCCCAGACUCCUACGGGAGGCAGCAGUGGGGAAUAUUGCACAGUGGGCGGAAGCCUGAUGCAGCAACGCCGCGUGCGGGAUGACGGCCUUCGGGUUGUAAACCGCUUUCGCCUGUGACGAAGAGUGAGUGACGGUAAUGGGUAAAGAAGCACCGGCUAACUACGUG